GAGGGUUAGAGAGGGUUAGAGAGGGUAAGAGAGGGUUAGAGAGGGUAAGAGAGGGUUAGAGAGGGUUAGAGAGGGUAAGAGAGGGUUAGAGAGGGUAAGAGAGGGUAAGAGAGGGUUAGAGAGGGUAAGAGAGGGUUAGAGAGGGUUAGAGAGGGUAAGAGAGGGUUAGAGAGGGUUAGAGAGGGUAAGAGAGGGUUAGAGAGGGUAAGAGAGGGUUAGAGAGGGUUAGAGAGGGUAAGAGAGGGUUAGAGAGGGUAAGAGAGGGUUAGAGAGGGUUAAAGUGGUUAGCUAGAGAGGGUAAGAGAGGGUUAGCUAGAGAGGGUUAAAGUGGUUAGCUAGAGAGGGUAAGAGAGGGUUAGCUAGAGAGGGUUAAAGUGGUUAGCUAGAGAGGGUAAGAGAGGGUUAAAGUGGUUAGCUAGAGAGGGUAAGAGAGGGUUAGCUAGAGAGGGUUAAAGUGGUUAGAGUGGUUAGACAGGUUAGUUAGACAGGUUAGUUAGAGAGGGUUAGACAGGUUGGUUAGAGAGGGUUAGAGUGGUUAGAGAGGUUAGACAGGUUAGUAAGAGAGGGGUAAUAUAUACCAGGAGAAGGACUGAAUGAACAGUGAGUCUCAGACAUGAAGCUGCCUGCUCACCCUCUCCUGUUUCUCAGGAAUCCAGGAGUAAUAAAUCAUAUCAAUUACAGAAUCAAAGGGCUGAUUUUAACUGAAGUCACCAGCUGACGACCAGCUGACGACCAGCCCACCAGGUGAGCGGUGUGUGAGAGGCAGGUGUAUCUGGGGAGUGAUGUCACAGGUGCCUCUGAAGGGUCCCAUUAAAUGUGCCAAAACAAUCGGAUCACAGGAUUUUACUUUUUGCCCCCCCCUCAAAAACAGUGAAUUUUUAUUUCAGUAUUAACAAGGGUCUCAACAAUUCGUGUGUGUGUGUGUGUGUGUGUGUGUGUGUGUGUGUGUGUGUGUGUGUGUGUGUGUGUGUGUGUGUGUGUGUGUGUGUGUGUGUGUGUGUGUGUGUGUGUGUGAGCCAUGUUGCUUUGCCGUUAGCGUAGGGGGUUUGGUUGAUGACAUCAACGUGAGUCGGACGAACCCUUCGUCCAAUAGGAUCGUCAGGAUUUGUCUGUUGUUUUUUUUCUAUUGAACUGAUCUGCUGUAGUCUGCAAACCGACCAAUCAUGGAGGGUUGUGUCGACACAUGAAAAAUAAAGUUUUAUCCUUUCAAAACUUUA